rnacentral:pre_miRNA from 1 species
UAAAAGUUAACUCAUAUUUGUGUGGAUCGUUUGCCUACGUUUGCCGCUAGGGGCGCUGUUCCAACUGCAUACAAAAUUGGGUUA